rnacentral:ncRNA from 1 species
CUAGCAUAUGCGCGAGUCAGUGGGUGAUAAACCUGAAGGCGUAAUGAAAGUAAAAGUCGCCUCGAUGCGACCGAUAUGGGAUCCAUGCGUUAUUGGAAUCCGCACGGCGCACCAUAGCCCCGUCCCCGUUGAUUGCAAUAGGGCGGAGGUACAGCGCUUACGCUGGCACUCGAAAGAUGGUGAACUAUGCCUGAGCAGUAUGAGGCCGGAGGAAAAUUUGGUGGAAGUCUGAAGCGGUUCUGGCGUGCAGAUCGAUCCUCUGACUUGGGUAUAGGGGCGAAAGACUAAUCGAGCCAUCUAGUAGCUGG